rnacentral:rRNA from 1 species
GUGGGGAAUUUUGCGCAAUGGGCUAACGCCUGACGCAGCAACGCCGCGUGGAGGAUGAAGGUCUUUGGAUUGUAAACUCCUGUCAGCAGGGAAAAAGCGAUAGGGCCGAAUACGUCCUAGAGUUGAUUGUACCUGCAGAGGAAGCCCCGGCUAACUCUGUGCCAGCAGCCGCGGUAAUACAGAGGGGGCAAGCGUUAUUCGGAAUUAUUGGGCGUAAAGGGCGCGUAGGCGGCUUUUCAAGUGGCGGGUGAAAUCCCUCGGCUUAACCGAGGAACUGCCUGCCAGACUGGAAGGCUUGAGACCGGGAGAGGUGAGUGGAAUUCCCAGUGUAGCGGUGAAAUGCGUAGAUAUUGGGAGGAACACCAGUGGCGAAGGCGGCUCACUGGACCGGUACUGACGCUGAGGCGCGAAAGCGUGGGGAGCAAACAGGAUUAGAAACCCCAGUAGUCC